rnacentral:rRNA from 1 species
AUCAGAGCCAUAUCUCCUUGCAGUUCUCACCUGGUUUCCCUUUGCUGAUAAGCAGGGUUGAGCCUGGCCAGUACCUGGAUGGGAGACCUCCUGGGGAAAACUAAGGUUGCUGCUGGAU